rnacentral:rRNA from 1 species
UACGGAGGGAGCUAGCGUUGUUCGGAAUUACUGGGCGUAAAGCGCGCGUAGGCGGCUUUGUAAGUUAGAGGUGAAAGCCCGGAGCUCAACUCCGGAACUGCCUUUAAAACUGCAUCGCUUGAAUCCAGGAGAGGUGAGUGGAAUUCCCGGUGUAGAGGUGAAAUUCGUAGAUAUCGGGAGGAACACCAGUGGCGAAGGCGGCGAUCUGGGUAGAUACUGACGCUGAGGUGCGAAAGCGUGGGGAGCAAACAGG